rnacentral:rRNA from 1 species
ACGAACGCUGGCGGCGUGCCUAAUACAUGCAAGUUGAGCGAUGAAGAUUGGUGCUUGCACCCAUUUGAAGAGCAGCGAACGGGUGAGUAACGCGUGGGGAAUCUGCCUUUGAGCGGGGGACAACAUUUGGAAACGAAUGCUAAUACCGCAUAACAACUUUAAACAUAAGUUUUAAGUUUGAAAGAUGCAAUUGCAUCACUCAAAGAUGAUCCCGCGUUGUAUUAGCUAGUUGGUGAGGUAAAGGCUCACCAAGGCGAUGAUACAUAGCCGACCUGAGAGGGUGGUCGGCCACAUUGGGACUGAGACACGGCCCAAACUCCUACGGGAGGCAGCAGUAGGGAAUCUUCGGCAAUGGACGAAAGUCUGACCGAGCAACGCCGCGUGAGUGAAGAAGGUUUUCGGAUCGUAAAACUCUGUUGGUAGAGAAGAACGUUGGUGAGAGUGGAAAGCUCAUCAAGUGACGGUAACUACCCAGAAAGGGACGGCUAACUACGUG